GUCCACGCCCUAAACGAUGUCAACUAGGUGUUGGGUGGGUAAACCAUUUAGUACCGGAGCUAACGCGUGAAGUUGACCGCCUGGGGAGUACGGCCGCAAGGUUAAACUCAAAGGAAUUGACGGGGACCCGCACAAGCGGUGGAUGAUGUGGAUUAAUUCGAUGCAACGCGAAAACCUUACCUACCCUUGACAUGUUCAGAAGUCUCGAGAGAUUGAGAUGUGCCCGAAAGGGAACUGGAACACAGGUGCUGCAUGGCUGUCGU
rnacentral:rRNA from 1 species